CGACCAGCCUUGCGCCACUGGCUUCUACGGCGAGGGCUGCAGCCACCGCUGCCCGCCAUGUCGCGACGGGCACGCCUGCAACCACGUCACUGGCAAAUGCACGCGCUGCAACGCAGGCUGGAUCGGCGAUCGGUGCGAAACCAAGUGCAGCAAUGGCACUUACGGCGAGGACUGCGCAUUCGUGUGCGUCGACUGCGGCAGUGGUCACUGCGACUUCCAAUCCGGGCGAUGCCUGUGUAGCCCUGGUGUCCAUGGGCCCCACUGUAACCUGACGUGCCCGCCCGGGCUCCACGGUGUGGAUUGCGCCCAGGCCUGCAGCUGCCAUGAGGACUCGUGCGACCCAGUCACUGGUGCCUGCCGCCU